rnacentral:lncRNA from 1 species
CCCGGGCGGAGCGCAGCCCCCGCCACCUGCUGGCUCCCGCGGCCCCCGGCGCCCGCUGGGGCCCCAGCUCCGCCACUUCGCCGAAUUCCUGCUGCAGCUUUGCUCCCCUAGAAAAUGCCUCAUCUUAGAAGGAGAGGGGGCGGAGGGGGGAGAAGGGGGAGAGGAGCCACAGUGCUUCACCUCUGAGCCUCGCUUCCUUAGGUUCUUCCAGGCUGCCAUCCUCCUCUUUGGCUGGUGGGUUUUUUUCUUUCUUGGGGUCUCAAGUGAAGCCUGAGAACCGGGUCUGUAAGCUCCCAAGUGCAGAUUCUCAGGUCUAGCGGUGACAUUGGACAGGACGAGACAUCUCCAAGCCUCGGUCAUUGCCUCUUAAAAUCUCACAACGUGUUUAUGAGGCUUUUGUGACAUACUUGCAAAUUCUCUUUGAAAACGAAAUAAUCUGUACAAUAAUCCCCCAAGACACAGGUUUACCUUUAUAACAAACCUGCACUUAUAACCCUGAACUUAAAAGUUAAAUAAAAGAAUUUAGGGCCGAGCGCGGUGGCCACUCCUGAAAUCCAAGCACUUUCGGAGGCCAAGGCAGGUGGAUCGCCUGAAGUCAGGAAUUCGAGACUAGCCUGGCCAACAUGGUGAAACCCCAUCUCUACUAAAAAUACCAAAAUUAGCUGGGCAUGGUGGCGGGCGCCUGUAAUCCCAGCUAUUCAGGAGGCUGAGGCAGGAGAAUCACUUGAACCCAGGAGGCUGAGGUUGCAGUGAGCUGAGAUCGCACCACUGCACUCCAGCCUGGGCAACACAGCCAGUUCCUGUCUCUUAAAUUUAAAAAAAAAAAGUAGAAAGAAUAAUGAACCUACCAUCCGGCAGUGACCACACAAGGUCCAUUCUUUUUUUCUAAGCAGGAAUAGCCACCCUUACUCCAACUGGGGAAAUCCCACAUUAUUCAAUUUCUCUCAAUACUUAAUAAUAAAUCUCAAGAUGAUAAGAUCAAAUUUAAAAAUUAACAAUAUUCCUUAAUAUUCUCAAAUAUAUUGAGGGUUUAUUGAAUGCAGGCUAAGCAUAGCAUGUAUACAAUAGAGCAUUUUUUAUUCUAUGGACAUUUAUGAAGUAGAGAUUUCUCCAUUAUUACAGACUCUUUGUAAAAGUUUUUAAUGGCUGCAAAUUAUCAUAGUUUAACAUCCCCUCUAUUAUUUUAAUAUUAAAGAUAACAUUGUCAUAAAUGUCUUUCUACAAAAUCUUGUGAAUUUAAGAUCGCUUAGAAUAGAUUUCCUACAGUGGAACUAUUGAGUCAACUGGUAGGGAAUAUUUUUAAAGGCUUUUUCUCUUUUAAACAAAUAUUUCUAUCUUGCUUUCCAAAAGUCUUGUAUCAAUAUACCUUCUAACUAGCAUUGAUUGUGUUAAAGUACCCAUUUUACUGCAUUCUGACCAAAAGUAAAUUUUAAAAUUUGAAAAUAAAAUUGUAAAUUUGGUAUGCUUAAAGAACUCUAUUUCAUUACAUAUAUAUACGUUGUUAAAUAAUGUAAAUUUCAAAUAUACUUCGAACUAUAGCAAUCAAUAAAUAUAGUGGAUAUCCAUGAGCCUACUGCCUCAUCCUGUCAAAACUUAAUAUGUCUGCUCAAUGUUUGCUUCAGAUAUUUUUUGGAAUAAAAAAAUUACAGAUA